rnacentral:tRNA from 1 species
AUUUCUAAUUUGUGUUUAUAUAGUUUAAAUAAAACAUUACAUUUUCAUUGUAAAAUUAAAUAUUAUCUUUUUGUAA